UAAAGAGUAAGGUAAAACAACACGUUCUCAGAAAGUUUCACGUAAAUGGUCUGCCUAAGCUUGACUCAACUCUCAUGUUCAUCUAUGAAAAAUGUCCCUUUUGAAGUUAAAUAUCAAUCUAUAUUAAAAACUUCAACCCGCACGGUGACACUGAUUUAAACUAUUCUUCAAGAGGUUGUUCGGUCCACAAACUAGUAAUACAGAAUUAUUAUGCCCUAAAUAUAUGAUUUUUUAGCGAAGAAUUAUUAUAAGGGGCUGUUAUGCAAAAAUAGCGACAUUAAAGCCAAUAAUUAGCUUCAUCCUAGUAUUGCUGAUGUAGAGAGUUUAGGGAGAAGUAAU
rnacentral:lncRNA from 1 species